rnacentral:rRNA from 1 species
GACGAACGCUGGCGGCGUGCUUAACACAUGCAAGUCGAACGGAAAGGCCCUGCUUUUGUGGGGUGCUCGAGUGGCGAACGGGUGAGUAACACGUGAGUAACCUGCCCUUGACUUUGGGAUAACUUCAGGAAACUGGGGCUAAUACCGGAUAGGAGCUCCUGCUGCAUGGUGGGGGUUGGAAAGUUUCGGCGGUUGGGGAUGGACUCGCGGCUUAUCAGCUUGUUGGUGGGGUAGUGGCUUACCAAGGCUUUGACGGGUAGCCGGCCUGAGAGGGUGACCGGCCACAUUGGUACUGAGAUACGGCCCAGACUCCUACGGGAGGCAGCAGUGGAGAAUAUUGCACAAUGGGCGGAAGCCUGAUGCAGCAACGCCGCGUGCGGGAUGACGGCCUUCUGGUUGUAAACCGCUUUCGCCUGUUACGAAGCGUGAGUGACGGUAAUGGGUAAAGAAGCACCGGCUAACUACGCG